rnacentral:lncRNA from 1 species
GAAGAUGGACAAGGCUGGCCUCAAGUUCUGCACAGCACUGGGGAUUCUCUCUUUGUAGAACUGAGCCAUAAUUCUCUUGCUCGCCAAGGCCAGCAAUGGAAGCAGCAGCCAAGGCAGAGAACGUGCCCCAAAAGGAGCUCAUCCAACGCAUGCAGUGACCAGGAGAACAGGAUCCAGAACUCCACUGUCGAUAUCAAUGAGCUCCAGCUGGUGGUGCCAAGUCGGGAGAAUGAAAACAACAACCACUCUGUGAGCCGGGAGCAGGCGGUCACUUCCUGCAGAGGCAGCACGGAACGGUCUCCUCAGGACACUGACCCAGAUGUGCCCUCCUCCAUCUCUGCAGUGACCACUGAGACUGGGAGUGAUGAAGUGUUUAUCAUUUCUGCUGGACCUGGGACCAGUGGGCUGAGCUUUACCACCUACAGGAUACAGGACAAAAACCUGAAAAGAAGUGUCACAAGCCCGGCCUCUGUGUCUGACUGGCUGAGCUCACACCCCACGGCUGCAGGGGCAGACGCUGCUGAGAAGGGGAAUGUGCAGCUGGAGAAUCCCUGUCCCAGGCAGCGCACCUGGAGCGCCCGCACCUUCCACGACUUCCUGGCUCCAAUACCACAGCUACAGAAAAAAUGGUGUAGCUGGAGCACCAACAGCCCCUUCACAAAGCUGGUUGACAGCAGUGGCUUUUCUACAGCUGCAAGAUCCCAAGCUGUGCCAACCAGAAAGGUAAUCUCAGCCACUGAGAUAGAGGGAGCAUCAGAGACUGUUUACUCUGAUUCAUCUGCCAGUAAUGCCUCAUACCCCCUCACUCUGUCUGCACAGAGGCAGCGGAAGUUAACCUCCUGCAAUUUGAAGAAAUCCAGAUUUGGGAACCCUUAUUUUGGAUUUUUAGCCAGUUCUCCUGACACCAAACAUGUCAGGUCCUUGGAUCCCUCAAGACAUCUAGGGGCAGCAUCUCCAGUUAACAGCCAAAGCCCCAAAAAUCUUCUAGAGAGCUCCAACCCACUGAAAAUCAACUUGGUCAACGGUUCAAAAACAAAGGAGCUUAUGGCAGAAACAGAUAAAAACAAACCAGUUUUUGUUAUUUCUGAAGAAGGGGAUGAUCAGCAGCCUCUGGUCUUGGCAGAACACCUUAGUCAGUGUGGAGAUCACCUGUCAGAGCAAAAUGCUGUGUAUGCUCUGGCCCUGCCAGAAAAACAGCCAGUGGUUCCAACUGCAGAGGGGAACAGCUCUGCCACCUUCACAUCGAGUCUUCCCCUUUGGGCAAAAUCCCCCAGUUCAUACAAAGGUCACGGGAAGGCCCCCAGCUCCUCCAGGGACCAGCAGAGCUCAGCAGGUGGAGAUGCCAACACUACUGAGACCUCACAGAACUGCGACACCCCCACUGCUCCUACGCUGUGCCAAGCUUCAGUCCAGUGA